rnacentral:rRNA from 1 species
GAUGAACGCUGGCGGCGUGCCUAAUACAUGCAAGUCGAGCGAACGGACGCGAAGCUUGCUUCUCUGAUGUUAGCGACGGACGGGUGACUAACACGUGGAUUACCCACCUCUAAGACUGGGGUAACUUCGAGAAACCGGAGCUACUACCGGAUACUAUUUUGAACCGCAUGGUUCUAGAGUGAAAUACGGUCUUGCUGUCACUUCUAGAUGGAUCCGCGCUGCAUUAGCUAGUUGGUACGGUAACGGCUUACCAAGGCAACGAUGCAUAGCCGACCUGAGAGGGGGAUCGGCCACCCUGGAACUGGGACACGGUCCAGGGUCCUGAGGGAGGGAGCAGUAGGGAACCGUCGGCAAUGGGCGAAAGCCUGACGGAGCGACGCCGCGUGAGUGAUGAAGGUCUUCGGAUCGUAAAACUCUGUUAUGAGGGAAGAACAUAUGUGUAAGUAACUGUGCCCAUCUUGACGGUACCUAAUCAGAAAGCCACGGCUAACUACGUG